GACGAACGCUGGCGGCGUGGAUUAGGCAUGCAAGUCGAACGGUAUCAUCCUUUCGGGGGUGAGAGAGUGGCGAACUGGUGAGUAACACGUAGGUUAUCUACCCUCAAGACGGGGACAACCCAGGGAAACUUGGGCUAAUACCGGAUGUGAGCAACUUUUAGUUGUUUGAAAGGUGGCGUAAGCUGUCGCUUGGGGAUGAGCCUGCGUCCUAUUAGUUAGUUGGUGAGGUAACGGCUCACCUAGGCAAUGAUAGGUAGGCGGCCUUAACGGGUGGUCGCCCACACUGGGAUUGAGAUACGGCCCAGACUCCUACGGGAGGCAGCAGUCGAGAAUAGUCUACAAUGGUCGGAAGACUGAUAGUGCGACGCCGCGUGAACGAUGAAUCCCUUCGGGGUUAAAGUUCUUUUAUAUGUGAGCAGUGCUUCUUAUAUUAACAGUAUGGGGAUAGGAGUAUAUCGAUAUAUAGAAAUAGACGAACGUACUAACCUCCGUCGACCACGACGACGCCGGAGGU
rnacentral:rRNA from 1 species